AACAAGAACGUGUCUUCGGCCGGUUCGUAUACGUCCCGGAAAGCACCCUGUCCCACGUGUCGGUGCAAUGGAGUAGAAAAACGUGGCGGGGCCCAGCCCCCCUCGGCCAUCUCCGCCGCGCUCUUGGGGUCGAGCUCAUUGGUUUGGCAGACCUGAAUAAGGAUCAGAGGAAAGGAGAGAAGAGAGAUCUGAACUUUUCUGGCUUCCAGCAUGGAGAGAGGAUGCAGGAUCCCAAAUCCCUCUUCAGGUCCACAAAAGGAGAAAGAUUUCGGGAACAAGCUGAGGUGUAGCAGUACAAACAUAUCCCUAUUCCCAUCUUGCUACACUAGAGACUUGAGAAGAAUUUCCCCUUGGAUGAGAUUUGAGACUCUUAGAUAAAUGAAGUUUUUCUGAUUUCUAUUUUCUGUUUGUUUGAAUAAAUGUAUUCAUUUGCUA